GAUGAACGCUGGCGGCGUGCCUAACACAUGCAAGUCGAACGAAGCACCUUACCUGAUUCUUCGGAUGAAAGUUUGGUGACUGAGUGGCGGACGGGUGAGUAACGCGUGGGUAACCUGCCCUGUACAGGGGGAUAACAGCUGGAAACAGCUGCUAAUACCGCAUAAGCGCACGAGGAGACAUCUCCUUGUGUGAAAAACUCCGGUGGUACAGGAUGGGCCCGCGUCUGAUUAGCUGGUUGGCAGGGUAACGGCCUACCAAGGCAACGAUCAGUAGCCGGUCUGAGAGGAUGAACGGCCACAUUGGAACUGAGACACGGUCCAAACUCCUACGGGAGGCAGCAGUGGGGAAUAUUGCACAAUGGGGGAAACCCUGAUGCAGCAACGCCGCGUGAGUGAAGAAGUAUUUCGGUAUGUAAAGUUCUAUCAGCAGGGAAGAUAAUGACGGUACCUGACUAAGAAGCUCCGGCUAAAUACGUG
rnacentral:rRNA from 1 species